CGUGUACUCUACCGAUUUAACCCUCCGAGUACCGCAUCAUAGUGACCCAUGCCGGAAUCACUGCUGACUCACACCGAUACUUUACUAACACAGCGGCUCAAGCUCGAGACCCCCACCAAUACUGUACGAGCCCAGUUACGGUUGCUCGAGCUCUAGACGUUACUAUAAUGCAAUGUAAUAGAUUUCGAGUUACGCUCGGAUUUUUGUUGUAUGUAUGCAAAAAAAUAAUAGAUUGAUAAGUUGUAUUGCAUUCAUUACAUAUAAUUUUUUGGAUUUUUGUUGAGUGGGCAUUACAAACAUUUCUUUUGCAUGAAUCGCAUACAGGCGAGCAUCUGUUAUUACUUCCUAUACAGAAACAGCACCUAGCACGCUUAUUGUAAUAAAAGUAUGAUUGUAUGAUGGAUUGUAUUUCACUAACUAUACAAAUACUGCGUGUAUGAUACGAGUCUGGGAGAUGACUGACUGUUGCUAAGAGACUAAAUGUUGCUACGUGACGUUUUGGUGCCAGCUUUUUUCCUAGACUUGGCUUUGUUCCUACCCUUACCGAGAUGGGAGAAUACCAGGACAUCUGGAAAUUCUCGGCAAGGCCGAGCUGUGGUGAAGGUGGUGUCAUUUUUCGCCUCGCACAA